rnacentral:rRNA from 1 species
UGGGGAAUAUUGCACAAUGGGCGCAAGCCUGAUGCAGCCAUGCCGCGUGUAUGAAGAAGGCCUUCGGGUUGUAAAGUACUUUCAGCGGGGAGGAAGGCGGUGAGGUUAAUAACCUCAUCGAUUGACGUUACCCGCAGAAGAAGCACCGGCUAACUCCGUG